rnacentral:rRNA from 1 species
AGAGUUUGAUCAUGGCUCAGAACGAACGCUAUCGGUAUGCUUAACACAUGCAAGUCGAACGAGUUAAUUAGGGCUUGCUCUAAUUAAUUAGUGGCAGACGGGUGAGUAACACGUGGGAAUCUGCCCAUCAGUACGGAAUAACUUUUAGAAAUAAAAGCUAAUACCGUAUAUUCUCUACGGAGGAAAGAUUUAUCGCUGAUGGAUGAGCCCGCGUCAGAUUAGGUAGUUGGUGGGGUAAUGGCCUACCAAGCCUACGAUCUGUAGCUGGUCUGAGAGGAUGAUCAGCCACACUGGGACUGAGACACGGCCCAGACUCCUACGGGAGGCAGCAGUGGGGAAUAUUGGACAAUGGGCGAAAGCCUGAUCCAGCAAUACCGAGUGAGCGACGAAGGCCUUAGGGUUGUAAAGCUCUUUUAGCAGGGAAGAUAAUGACGUUACCUGCAGAAAAAGCCCCGGCUAACUCCGUGCCAGCAGCCGCGGUAAGACGGAGGGGGCUAGCGUUGUUCGGAAUUACUGGGCGUAAAGAGUGCGUAGGUGGUUUAGUAAGUUGGAAGUGAAAGCCCGGGGCUUAACCUCGGAAUAGCUUUCAAAACUACUAAUCUAGAGUGUAGUAGGGGAUGAUGGAAUUCCUAGUGUAGAGGUGAAAUUCUUAGAUAUUAGGAGGAACACCGGUGGCGAAGGCGGUCAUCUGGGCUACAACUGACACUGAUGCACGAAAGCGUGGGGAGCAAACAGGAUUAGAUACCCUAGUAGUCC